GCGCUUAUGGUGGAAUUGGCAGACACGCUACUUUGAGGUGGUAGUGGCGAAAGCCGUGCAGGUUCAAGUCCUGCUAAGCGCACCA
rnacentral:tRNA from 1 species